GGGGAUGUAGCUCAGUUGGCUAGAGCGCUUGACUGGCAGUCAAGAGGUCGUGGGUUCGAGUCCCAUCUUCUCCAC
rnacentral:tRNA from 1 species